rnacentral:rRNA from 1 species
UGGGGGAUAUUGCACAAUGGGGGAAACCCUGAUGCAGCGACGCCGCGUGAGGGAAGACGGCCUUCGGGUUGUAAACCUCUGUCGCAGGGGACGAAGGAAGUGACGGUACCCUGUGAGGAAGCCACGGCUAACUACGUGCCAGCAGCCGCGGUAAUACGUAGGUGGCGAGCGUUGUCCGGAAUUACUGGGUGUAAAGGGAGCGUAGGCGGGAGUGCAAGUUGAAUGUAUAAACUAUCGGCUCAACUGAUAGAAGCGUUCAAAACUGCACUUCUUGAGUGAAGUAGAGGCAGGCGGAAUUCCUAGUGUAGCGGUGAAAUGCGUAGAUAUUAGGAGGAACACCAGUGGCGAAGGCGGCCUGCUGGGCUUUAACUGACGCUGAGGCUCGAAAGCGUGGGUAGCA